rnacentral:lncRNA from 1 species
AGAUGAGGUCUCACCAUAUCGCCCAGGCUGGUCUCAAAUCCCUGGACUCAAGUGACCCUCCUGCCUUGACCUCCCAAAGUGCUGUUAUUACAAGCAUGAGCUACAGUGCCUGGCCACCACCAGCCUCCUUUCACAGAGGCUGAAUUUCAAUCAGCUGCUACCAGUUGACAAUGAUAAAAUUAUCUCUAUAUGGGCAAAUGCGUGCUCUUUAUUGAAAAAGAAAGCUUCAGCUUCAUGUUCCAGGGAUGGUCAAGUUGGUAUCCAUCGUGAAGCUAAAUGAAUAUCUGGACAGGAGUCAGACAAAGAGAAGGAGAAUCCAGGAGAAGAUGAAGCAGCUGCAGGCCUGUCUGCUACCCUAUAUCCGGGGAAGAGCCAGAAAUUGCUGACCAUAGAGAAUUACAUUGUCCAGCUUUUCCUCUA